rnacentral:rRNA from 1 species
UACGUAGGGUGCGAGCGUUAAUCGGAAUUACCGGGCGUAAAGCGUGCGCAGGCGGCUUUGCAAGACAGAUGUGAAAUCCCCGGGCUCAACCUGGGAACUGCAUUUGUGACUGCAAGGCUAGAGUACGGUAGAGGGGGAUGGAAUUCCGCGUGUAGCAGUGAAAUGCGUAGAUAUGCGGAGGAACACCGAUGGCGAAGGCAAUCCCCUGGACCUGUACUGACGCUCAUGCACGAAAGCGUGGGGAGCAAACAGG